GUCCCGUCGGUCAGCCCCCCCGCCACCAUCACUGCCAGCCGCCGUGAGGGGGAAGGCGGGAGGUGGAAGAGCCCCCGGUCGGCUCCGUCUGCCCCCUCGGCCGAGAGGGAGGAGGAGAGGUUUUAGGCAGCGUUUCUCAGAGAUUAAGAAAUACCCUGACAUGCUGCAGCCAAAAAGGAGGAAAAUCGCUCCGCUUGCUGGGGGGAGCCACAGGGAGGUUCCCAGUGGUUGACGUACUUCAUCCACAAAAGCAAGGAUUCCUUUCAGAAACUGGAAAACCCCGUGGAGUCUCAGGCAGCUCAGUUAUGCACACGCUUUCCUGUAAAGGCAGCCACACCUGAUAAUUUAGAAAUAAACGCUUUCCCAGCAGUGAGCAUCUCCAAUUCCCUGGGUGACAGAAGAUGGUGUUUAGUAGUGGGGGAGCAGAGGACUCACUGCUUUUGAAUGGAGGCGCCCAUCCAUGCCAACACACAAAGCCACCUGGAAAUGUGUGGUUUCCAAAGGGGAUCUCCUCCAAAUCUUUAUAUAUCUGCAAGAAAAUGCAUUCCUUUAUGCCAGGUGCAAGACACUUAUGAAAAAUGUAUCACCAAGUUUCAAUAUAGUAUCUCAAAGAACUCAUGGGAUGAUGUAAGACAGUUUUUAGGUUCCUCUCAGUCAAUGACUUUUUUUCCUAGAGCUUCCCCAAAGCUGCAUGAAAAUACAUAAAAUAUUACUUUGAAAAGCAGUCAAGUUUUAAAAAUGAUUUACCAAGUUGCUAACUUUUCCAGACUUAAAACGUGAUGCCUGAGAUAAUAUGUCUGUUUCACGUUGAUAAAUA